UACGUAGGGGGCAAGCGUUGUCCGGAAUCAUUGGGCGUAAAGAGCGUGUAGGCGGCUCGGUAAGUCCGCUGUGAAAGUCCAGGGCUCAACCCUGGAAUGCCGGUGGAAACUGUCGAGCUAGAGUCCGGAAGAGGCGAGUGGAAUUCCUGGUGUAGCGGUGAAAUGCGCAGAUAUCAGGAGGAACACCGAUGGCGAAGGCAGCUCGCUGGGACGGUACUGACACUGAGGAGCGAAAGCGUGGGGAGCGAACAGG
rnacentral:rRNA from 1 species